rnacentral:rRNA from 1 species
AGCGAACGCUGGCGGCAGGCUUAACACAUGCAAGUCGAACGGGCACCUUCGGGUGUCAGUGGCAGACGGGUGAGUAACACGUGGGAACGUGCCCUUUGGUUCGGAACAACUCCGGGAAACUGGAGCUAAUACCGGAUAAGCCCUUCGGGGUAAGGAUUUAUCGUCAAAGGAUCGGCCCGCGUCUGAUUAGCUAGUUGGUGAGGUAAUGGCUCACCAAGGCGACGAUCAGUAGCUGGUCUGAGAGGAUGAUCAGCCACACUGGGACUGAGACACGGCCCAGACUCCUACGGGAGGCAGCAGUGGGGAAUAUUGGUACGAAUGGGCGAAAGCCUGAUCCAGCCAUGCCGCGUGAGUGAUGAAGGCCUUAAGGAUUGUAAAGCUCUUUCGGGCGGGGACGAUAAUGACGGUACCCGCAGAAGAAGCCCCGGCUAACUUCGUG